GUGCUCGCUUCAGCAGCACAUAUACUAAAACUGGAACGAUACAGAGAAGAUUAGCAUGGCCCCUGUGCUAGGAUGACAAGCAAAUUCAUGAAGAAUUUCAUAAUUAA
ensembl:snRNA U6 U6 spliceosomal RNA